rnacentral:rRNA from 1 species
GCUUGUCUCAAAGAUUAAGCCAUGCAUGUCUAAGUAUAAACAAAUCUAUACUGUGAAACUGCGAAUGGCUCAUUAUAUCAGUUAUAGUUUAUUUGAUGGUUCUUGCUACUUGGAUAACCGUAGUAAUUCUAGAGCUAAUACAUGCACCCAUGCCCGACUUUGUGGAAGGGUUGUGUUUAUUAGUUACAGAACCAACCCAGGCUCUGCCUGGUCUUGUGGUGAUUCAUAAUAACCGAACGAAUCGUAUGGCAUCAGCUGGCGAUGAAUCAUUCAAGUUUCUGACCUAUCAGCUUCCGACGGUAGGGUAUUGGCCUACCGUGGCAAUGACGGGUAACGGAGAAUUAGGGUUCGAUUCCGGAGAGGGAGCCUUAAAAACGGCUACCACAUCCAAGGAAGGCAGCAGG